UUGUUCACCUGACACUGAAAUACUAAAAUUGGAAGGAUAUAGAAAAGAUUAGUAUGCUCCCUGCACAAGGAUGACAUGUAACUUUGUGAAGGGCUACAUAUUUCU
ensembl:snRNA U6 U6 spliceosomal RNA